rnacentral:rRNA from 1 species
UACGUAGGCAGCGAGCGUUGUUCGGAAUUACUGGGCGUAAAGCGCGCGUAGGCGGCUUUGUAAGUUAGAGGUGAAAGCCCGGGGCUCAACCCCGGAAUUGCCUUUAAGACUGCAUCGCUUGAAUCCGGGAGAGGUGAGUGGAAUUCCGAGUGUAGAGGUGAAAUUCGUAGAUAUUCGGAAGAACACCAGUGGCGAAGGCGGCUCACUGGACCGGCAUUGACGCUGAGGUGCGAAAGCGUGGGGAGCAAACAGG